AGCCGAACGAGAAUCUACUGAAAGAGUUUUCGGACAAUGGAAGUAGAGGAAAGUGGCGGACGGGUGAGUAACGCGUGAGGAACCUGCCUUGAAGAGGGGGACAACAGUUGGAAACGACUGCUAAUACCGCAUGAAGCAUAGGGGUCGCAUGAUUCUUAUGCCAAAGAUUUAUCGCUUCAAGAUGGCCUCGCGUCUGAUUAGCUAGUUGGCGGGGUAACGGCCCACCAAGGCGACGAUCAGUAGCCGGACUGAGAGGUUGAACGGCCACAUUGGGACUGAGAUACGGCCCAGACUCCUACGGGAGGCAGCAGUGGGGAAUAUUGGGCAAUGGGCGCAAGCCUGACCCAGCAACGCCGCGUGAAGGAAGAAGGCUUUCGGGUUGUAAACUUCUUUUAAGAGGGAAGAGCAGAAGACGGUACCUCUAGAAUAAGCCACGGCUAACUACGUGCCAGCAGCCGCGGUAAUACGUAGGUGGCAAGCGUUGUCCGGAUUUACUGGGUGUAAAGGGCGUGCAGCCGGGUCUGCAAGUCAGAUGUGAAAUCCAUGGGCUCAACCCAUGAACUGCAUUUGAAACUGUAGAUCUUGAGUGUCGGAGGGGCAAUCGGAAUUCCUAGUGUAGCGGUGAAAUGCGUAGAUAUUAGGAGGAACACCAGUGGCGAAGGCGGAUUGCUGGACGAUAACUGACGGUGAGGCGCGAAAGUGUGGGGAGCAAACAGGAUUAGAUACCCUGGUAGUCCACACUGUAAACGAUGAAUACUAGGUGUGCGGGGACUGACCCCCUGCGUGCCGCAGUAAACACAAUAAGUAUUCCACCUGGGGAGUACGAUCGCAA
rnacentral:rRNA from 1 species